AUUGAACGCUGGCGGCAGGCCUAACACAUGCAAGUCGAACGAGCGGCGGACGGGUGAGUAAUGUAUGGGAAUCUGCCUGAUAGAGGGGGAUAACUACUGGAAACGGUAGCUAAUACCGCAUACCAUCGGAUGUACCCAUAUGGGAUUAGCUAGUAGGUGGGGUAAAGGCUCACCUAGGCGACGAUCCCUAGCUGGUCUGAGAGGAUGAUCAGCCACACUGGGACUGAGACACGGGCCAGACUCCUACGGGAGGCAGCAGUGGGGAAUAUUGCACAAUGGGCGCAAGCCUGAUGCAGCCAUGCCGCGUGUAUGAAGAAGGCCUUAGGGUUGUAAAGUACUUUCAGCGGGGAGGCGUUACCCGCAGAAGAAGCACCGGCUAACUCCGUGCCAGCAGCCGCGGUAAUAC
rnacentral:rRNA from 1 species